AUACCUUUCUCGGUCCUUUGGCUAAGAUCAAGUGUAGUAUCUGUUCUUAUCAGUUUAUUAUCUGAUAUGUGGAUCAUCCACAUGAUAUUAAAUCAAUAUUUUUAGGGGUAGAGCUCAUUGAAAAUAGCUUGCUAUUGGGGGUCCUCGAGUGUCGUCUUUGUUUUGCACUACUGCAUUGUUUUGGCACACCCCUC
rnacentral:snRNA from 1 species